rnacentral:rRNA from 1 species
GAUGAACGCUACGCUACAGGCUUAACACAUGCAAGUCGAGGGGCAGCGGGAUUGAAGCUUGCUUCAAUUGCCGGCGACCGGCGCACGGGUGAGUAACGCGUAUCCAACCUUCCGUACACUCAGGGAUAGCCUUUCGAAAGAAAGAUUAAUACCUGAUGGUAUGAUGAGAUUGCAUGAUAGCAUCAUUAAAGAUUUAUCGGUGUACGAUGGGGAUGCGUUCCAUUAGGUAGUAGGCGGGGUAACGGCCCACCUAGCCGACGAUGGAUAGGGGUUCUGAGAGGAAGGUCCCCCACAUUGGAACUGAGACACGGUCCAAACUCCUACGGGAGGCAGCAGUGAGGAAUAUUGGUCAAUGGACGAGAGUCUGAACCAGCCAAGUAGCGUGAAGGAUGAAGGUCCUACGGAUUGUAAACUUCUUUUAUAAGGGAAUAAACCCUCCCACGUGUGGGAGCUUGUAUGUACCUUAUGAAUAAGCAUCGGCUAACUCCGUGCCAGCAGCCG